UUUGGUGUAUACAUCUGCCAUGGAGACCAGACACCUGACCUAAUCCUGAAAGGAGAUGCCAUGCAAAGGGAAGAGCAUGGACAGGUGCAGAGAAAGCAGGUGACAUGCAAAGACCCAUAAACUGGGAUGGGAGGUGGGAGGUCAGGAGACAAGGCUGAAGAAGUGGGCAGGGGUUAGGUCUGGGAGGCCCAGGGGGUUGGGGGAAGCUCUUGGGUUAAUCCUGUAAACAGGGCCCUGGGAAGCAGGGGAAAGACCUGCUUGGAUUAGCCCUUUGGAGAUACUGCUCUGGCGGCAGCCUGGAGGCCAGUGCAACAGUGGGCAGGGGUGGCAGUGGGACGCUGAGGUUAGUCAUCAGGGAAAACCAACCACUGGAGAGGUGCCAGAACAGAGCCUGCACGGCCCCCCACUGCUGUGUGCACAUCCAAUCGCUGCGCAGCCUGAUUUGCUCUGCACGGUUUAGGAAGCCCAGUCACUUGUCUAUCAGCUGACCUGAAAUGUGCACUGAGACAUGGCUGAGGGGCUCAGGUGUGCUAUGAACUCCGGGAGCUUUCACAGCAACAUUUCUGUUUUCUGUCUAAUAGAAACACAUUUCCCUCUUUCCUCCCCACCCCCUCCCCUGCCAGGGCUCCAGCUUGUCCCAGUGAGGAACCCCUGACCACUCAAGGGGACACUUCUGUUCCCUCAGGCCUCCACUAUCUGCUUAUUCUGGGAAGACCAUAUGAAUGGGAUCAUACAGUAAGUGGCCUUUCAGGUCCAGCUUCUUUUACUUAGCAUGUUUCAAGGUUCAUCAUGUUGUAGGAUGCUUCCAUACUUCAUUCUUUUCUAUGGCCGAAUAAUAUUCUAUUGUAUGGGCACACUACACAUUUUUUUAUCCAUCCUUCUGUUGAUGGAGACUUGGGUUGUUUUUACCUUUUGGCUACUGUUGAAUUAUUAUCACUGAAUAAUGCUGCUAUGAACAUUGCUACAUAAAUAUGUUUGUGAGUUCCUGUUUUCAAUUCUUUUUUUUUUUUAAACAGAAAUCACCAAACUAUUUUCCACAGUGGCUGCAUCAUUUUACUUCCCACCAGCAAUGAACAAGGGUUCCAAUUUCUCCAUAUCCUUGCCAACAUCUUAUUUUCUAUGUGUUACUGGUGUUCAUAUUGUAGCCAUCCUAGUAGUUGUGAAGUAAUAUCUCAUGGUUUUGAUUUGCAUUUCCCCAAUGCCCAGUGACUAAUGGUGUUGAGACUGGGCAUGUGUUAACUACAUCAGCAAAGCAGGCACCAAAAAAUUGCAGUAAAAUUUCUUAGAAAUUUUUGAUAUUUGGCAUCAAAAUUUCUGUAACAAGAAAUCCAGCUCACCUUUUCUGAGAUAAUG